ACUCAAUCCCCGGCUGUUAAACACACGGCCCCCAAUGCACUGGACAAUACCUCCUGCGAAGCGCUUUGAGAAGACUCGGAAGAGGGGACCGAACCGCUACGUCAGUUGCUAAGGGUUAAAUUCCGCACAGGUUCACAUCAGGAGCUCUUGGGAUUAAUCCGGGUAUUUUCCGGUGACACGACCUACCCCGGGAGCGGAGUCCCUGAGGCUUGACGGAAAUUCUGGCGGAAAUCCUGGGGGAACCAUUGCGAAUGAGACUCCCGCCCGAACGACUCUGUACUGAAUUACGCGCGAACAGCAGUGUAGGCAUCGAGUUCUCGAACUGAAAUCGGUACCAGGAGGUGAGCAGAGCAACGACGACGGGAGUCGUUCCUGAACAAUCCCACGUCAUUGGCAGGUGUGUCGCUUCCACCUCAGGAUUGGCGGUGAAUGGCAAAUUCCAUGGCACUAUUGGAAGACGGGGUUGUUUUUUCCCAGUGUCAAGGCAAAAAUUGGCUACACGCUCCAUGGCUGUUGUGACCACCUACAAAAUGAGCACUGGACUACAUAACCAAAAUGUCAACAUGUCACCAAUUCUCUUCCUAAAGGUGAUGCAGACGCGGGCAUUUUCCCCAGGACUUUCACUAAACUUUCUCAAUUGACCACUUCUUUUAACAUCCUGGACUGGUGCAGAGGUUAGGGGUGGGGGGAGGGAGAAGCGAAAGAAAAAUCAUCGCUAUUAUCAAACGUCCACUUCCAGCAGCUAUCACUACACCGUGUCUUCGGUCACCUUUCCACCCCUACCCACCUCUUGCCUUCCUCUCGACUCCAACCCCCAGCUCAAGUGUAAACCCUUCACGGUCAAGCACCUUGGGUUCUCUCGAAGUGAAAGGAGCUAUAUAAAUGCAAUUUGUCGCUGUCCAGUGAGAAAUCAGGAUGAAAAUGUUUGCUGAUCCUCACCCCUCUCUCAAGGUCAAACAUCAGGACUAAUUGCACUGUUCUACCCCUGCUCUGGCUGAGAUUUUGAAAUGGAUCACUGAUCACAGAUCAAGACUUCGGGAAUUGCUGGUCUGACUGGCUCAGUAUAUUGUUCACUCAGACAUGAGAGGUCAAGAGUAGCAUCUCUGUAACUACUUGUAUUCCAGCCAGUUCUCAGAAAUUAUUAAAUAGACACAUUCUAGUGAAAUGUGCUUUAAUUCCUG